UAACUGGGGUGGGGGGCGAGCAGCUUCUUCUGAUGAGCAAGCUCUGUGCAGGUCCCCCUCCCCUUUCUGUGGUCCACGUCCCCCUGAGCUAUAAGAAGCGCUUUAGCUGGAAUUGGUCUGCAUUGCAUGACAGCACCCUCCAUAGAAGUCAGCCCUGAGCAGGAGUCAGUCAGCUGCCUCUGUGUGCCGCUUCACACGGCGGAUCUGUUGCUGGGAGGAGAGAGAGACGGAGGAACACCCUGCCCUGGUUUAUUCUCAGGCUCCCUGCUUCUUUUUAUCCCCACCCCUGACUUUAUUAUCUGCCUGCUCAAAAUUAAGAGCAAAGGCAGGAGCCUGGGGGGGGGAAAAUAGCGUGGGACGCGGGAGACACCUGGGCAUGAAUUAGAUGGCAAUCACACGGAAAUAUUUUUCCUAGGAAGAAAAGGAAAAACCCAGUCCUAGAAAAAAGGAAGGAUUGAAAGAGCAGCUUUGUUGAAUGAGAAGGACAGAGCAGGACCAGCACCAUGAGUACUAGCAUUCCCUAUCAACAAAACCCGUACGGCUCCGGGGGCAGCUCCACCGUCAUCCAGUGCUACCGCUGCGGAGACACAUGUAAGGGAGAGGUGGUGCGCGUCCAGAGCAAUCACUUCCACAUCAGGUGCUUCACCUGCCAAGUGUGCGGCUGUGACCUGGCCCAAUCAGGCUUCUUCUUUAAGAACGGGGAGUACAUCUGCACCCAUGACUACCAGCAGCUCUACGGGACCCGCUGCGACAGCUGCCGUGACUUCAUCACUGGAGAGGUCAUCUCUGCCCUGGGCAGGACAUACCACCCCAAGUGCUUUGUCUGCAGCAUGUGCAGGAAGCCGUUCCCCAUUGGAGACAAAGUGACAUUCAGCGGGAAAGACUGCGUCUGCCAAGCUUGUUCCCAUUCGCUGAUCAGCUCCAAGCCUAUCAAGAUUCACGGGCCGAGCCACUGUGCGGGCUGCAAGGAGGAGAUCAAGCACGGCCAGUCGCUCCUGGCCCUGGAGAAGCAGUGGCACGUCAGCUGCUUCAAGUGCCAAACCUGCGGGAUCAUCCUGACUGGCGAGUACAUCAGCAAGGACGGCGUUCCAUACUGCGAAUCUGACUACCAUGCCCAGUUCGGCAUUAAGUGUGAGACCUGUGACCGGUACAUCAGUGGCAGGGUCUUGGAGGCAGGAGGGAAGCACUACCACCCAACCUGUGCCAGAUGCGUCCGCUGCCACCAGAUGUUCACGGAAGGGGAGGAGAUGUAUCUCACAGGUUCUGAAGUGUGGCACCCGAUCUGCAAACAGGCAGCAAGAGCAGAGAAGAAAUUGAAGCACAGAAGAACAUCAGAAACCUCCAUCUCGCCCCCUGGUUCCAGUAUUGGUUCCCCCAACCGAGUCAUCUGUGCUAAAGUGGAUAAUGAGAUCCUUAAUUACAAAGACCUGGCAGCUCUUCCCAAGAUUAAAGCCAUCUACGAGGUGCAGCGUCCCGACCUCAUUUCCUACGAGCCUUAUCACAGAUACACGUCAGAUGAGACGCUGGAGAGAUAUAGCUAUGGGGAGUCCCUUGGAACGCUGUCUCCGUAUUCUCAGGAUAUCUAUGAAAGUAUUGACAUACGGCAGAGACGGGCCUCCAGCCCGGGCUACAUCGACUCCCCCACCUACAGCCGCCAGGGCAUGUCUCCCACCAUCCCACGCUCCCCACAUCAUUACUACCGCUCAGGCACAGAGAGUGGGCGCAGCUCCCCCUACUAUAGCCAGUUAGAUGUGAGGUCUUCUACUCCAACCUCAUACCAAGCUCCCAAGCAUUUCCACAUUCCAGCUGCCGGAGAGAGUAACAUCUACCGGAAACCCCCCAUCUAUAAACGACACGACAAUCUACCUGCAGCUACGAAAAGCAAAACCAGCGAAGACAUUGCACAAUCCUCCAAAUACAGCCCAGCCUAUUCCCCGGACCCGUACUACCACUCAGAAUCCGAGUACUGGCCUUUCCAAAGUUCGCCCAAAGCACCGCGAGCCCGCAGAUUCUCAUCAGGGGGAGAAGAGGAUGGGUUUGACCGGGGGAUGCACAAGAUCCAGAGCGGCAUCGGCAGGUUGAUCCUGAAGGAAGAGAUGAAGGCACGAUCCAAUUCUUACGCUGAUCCCUGGACGCCGCCCCGCAGCUCAGCCGGCAGCAGAGAGGCCCUGCACACAGUCGGCUACGAGAGCUCACUGAACGGCUCUCCCCGGACACAUUACCUGGCUGACAGUGAUCCCCUCAUUUCGAAAUCUGCAUCCCUCCCUGCCUACAGAAGGAACGGGCUGCACAGGCCCCCCAGUGCUGAACUCUUCCACUACGACAGCACAAACGCCGUCAACUGGGGGAUGCGAGAAUACAAGGUAAGACUCUCCUUGGAGUGGGGAACAGCUGCCAUCCAGUCAGUGAUGCCAUCUAAUGUCCGAAUGCCACCAGGGCAGGGUCCUUGGAGAUUGUCCCUCCAUCUCUUGUGUCCUGGGCUGGUCUCAGAGCCCAUGUUUGAACGGAGACCUUUUCAGACACCUUCUCUUUCCUCAGACAUGCCCUGGCUUCACUUUCCCUCAAUCCUGUCCCUCCUGCUAUCAGCUCCAACAGAAUGGGCUGCAGUUGAGCAUGGUUUACGUUGCAGGUGUCUCAAAACGCUUUGCCCAGCAGCAAGGUGCAUGCUGGGGGAAGAACUGAUGAGGUGGGUGACCACAGCUGUCAUGCUGGGAUCAGCAGCAGCAGCUCCCACCCAGCUGUGGAGGCUGAACCUAUUAGAUGUGGAGAGGGGAUGCUGGGUAGGAUGCUAGGUCAUCGCCUACACCAGUGUUUCUGAAACAGUGGGUCCUGACCCACCAGUGGGUCCCAAGAAGGUUUUAGCUGGAUCGCUACAUCCAGAACCAGGUUAACCCAUCACUGGGCUCUGGCCUAGGCAAACAUACAUUUCUCCCGGCCUGGUGCAGAGGAGAGACCCUGGAGGGGUUGGGGAGAUGGAUUCUGAGCCUGUUCUGUACUCGCCCCAUAUUGUUGGCUCCAGUCCUGCAGGGCUGGGCCCGGUUCCCCGCUCCAGGUUUUGCAACCUGGCACACGGGUUGCAGCACCACCAGCUGGACCGAACCCGAGUGGUGCUACAACCCUGUGUGCCAGGUCGCAACACCCAGAGCAGGGAGCUGGUCCCAGCGUCAUGGGACAGGAGCCACUGCUGCAGGGGGCAGGCUCGUUCCCUGCCCACAAGGCCUUUCCUCUACACUGGGCCGGGGUUAGGGUUGAGGUGCCAGGGCAGAGGGUGCAUGUACGUAAUGGUGGGUUGCAAAAAAAGACAAAAUGCAGUUGGUGGGUUGCCUGAGUAAAAAGUUUGGGAACCACUGGCUUCUGUGACAAGCCAAGCAGUCUUCGCCUUCUGCCUGGAGAUGGGCAGAUGGGGAGCUGGGUUAGUGUCGCCCCUCAGGGCAGCCGCUCCAUCAGAGCAGCAUCCCUGCCUUGCAGUGUCAGCGUGAGCUCCAUUCUGCUGUGGGAGUUGGGCCUGCACCUUUGUGGCCCCCGCGAAGCACCAUCCCUGAGCCAAACAGAACAGGCCCAAGGACUAGCCACUGUGUUGUUGCUGUGGGUUCCCUCUAGCUGUGCCCGUCUGGACUGCUCCCUGGCUCACAGCUCAGAGAGCCUACCAACCCCAAAGCGUUUCUUCGUCUCUCUCUGCAGAUAUACCCCUACGAGCUGCUCAUGGUGACCACCAGGGGGAGGAACCAGCUGCCCAAAGAUGUGGACAGGACUCGGUUAGAGCGCCACCUGUCACAGGACGAGUUCUAUCAGAUCUUCAGCAUGACCAUUGCAGAGUUCGACCGC